rnacentral:lncRNA from 1 species
UCCAAGCAAAACGAAACACAAAACUCAUAAAUUUAAGAAACUAACAUAAACCCACAAACGCAAUGAAUUGAAAACCAUAAAAUUUUCAACAAAAAAACAAAUACAUAAUCAACAAUUCUGUGUUUGACUACAGAACUUUUAAUCAGCGUGUAUAUGGACUCCAAUGGCAAUAAGGAAAAUAGUGAUUAGCCCAAAGAAAAUGAGAGUAUGAACCAAAAUUGAAAGUCCACUUGUAUGCAUGUUUCCAAAUUCAAUCACUCUGUUCCUCCCCGGAAUCUGAAACAGCAGUCCUGGAGUAAGCAGCACGAACAGCACCACCGCUAUAACCACCGGCCCCCAAUCUGCCAUUUUAAUUUUCUCUCUCUAGAACUCUGUUUCUUUCUCUCCAGAUCUCUAUAUGCGCAGCUGGAAUG